rnacentral:rRNA from 1 species
GACGAACGCUGGCGGCGUGCUUAACACAUGCAAGUCGAACGGAAAGGCCCUGCUUUUGUGCGUUGCUCGAUUGGCGAACGGGUGAGUAACACGUGAGUAACCUGCCCUUGACUUUGGGAUAACUUCAGGAAACUGGGGCUAAUACCGGAUAGGAGCUCCUGCUGCAUGGUGGGGGUUGGAAAGUUUCGGCGGUUGGGGAUGGAUUCGCGGCUUAUGGGCUUGUUGGUGGGGUAGUGGCUUACCAAGGGUUUGACGGGUAGCCGGCAUGGGAGGGUGGACGGCGACAAUGGGACUGCGAUAGGGAGCAGUCUGGAACGGGAGGCAGAAGUGGGGAAUAUUGCACAAUGGGCGGAAGCCUGAGGAAGCAACGCCGGGUGCGGGAUGCCGGCCUUCGGGUUGUAAACAGCUUUAGCCGGAGACGAAGCGUGAGUGACGGUAAUGAGUAAAGAAGCACCGGCUAACUACGUG